UCUUUGUGGUGAUUUUAAUUUCAAUUAUAAACAUAUUGUCAAUAGUUCUAAAUCCAUGGAACGUUCCCUGGGCGAUCUAACAAUUCUAAGCAUUCUAUUUCGAAAGUUUCCUCAGAACUAAACUAUUUGCAGAAGUUGCAAUACCUUCACUUGUUAAAUGACCGAGAUUUUGAGAAAAUCACCAUCAUCAUUAUCAUCAUCAUCCUCAACCAUCAUCGAUUAUAUUAGUUGGCUAAUACUGAUAAGACUAAAAAUGAUAACAAUAUGCCUUUAUGAUGAUACAUUAUGAACAAAUAAGUACAGUAUUAUUAGUAUUAAAUGUAUUAUUAUUACGACAAUAAUACAUAGGCUAAAUAAAGAAAUACAUUUGUUCACUGUUUUUGUUCCUGAAAAAAAAUGACUUGGCCUAGCGAAUGCAUAUACACAGUAGCUUAUGCCCGUCUCUAUGCAAAAUCCUUGAGACCACAAUUGAAUUCUGAUGUCAAUGGCCUCCACCUAUCCAACCUUUUCCACAUCAUCAGAAGAAGGAGGAGCAUCUAUUAUGUCAACAGUUACUUUGGGACCGGGCGAAAAUGACGGUAUAUAGGCCUAUAUCAAAAACAGUUACUUUUGCCCUACAGUUUGUAGGAAAAUAUCGCAGUCGUUUAUUGUUUUUAUUUUUAGGAGCGGUUGGUAGGCUAUAUAAUUGUACAGCUUAUGCUCUAUCCACGACAAUCGUCCCGUUAUCUAAUGAUUCCGGGCGCACGAACUGUGGAGCCCUUGGGUGAGGUUUCUAAAGUUUUUAUAGAUUGAAUUUCGAACUUCUAGAUCAGCGCCAAGUCACCCACCAUAAAGAUGAGAUUCUUUAGGCUGGACCAGAUGCAGACAAGGGGCAUGCCUUUGCCAUGCUAGUGCCGCAGUCUGUGAUGACUCCAUCGGUGGUGUCUGGCUCUUCCGUGGGUAGCAGAUGGCUUGAAGGACCAGUGGCUGGAGGAUCUGCAAGCAAGUGAUGGCAGAUGGAAACACCAUCAAAGCGAGAGAUGGCAUGGCACUGCAGAGGACCCGACACCAAAGCCCUGGUCUAUUGACCAAUCCUUUCUAACACGAUGACCAGCUCAAUCCAUUAUUGAGAUGAGUAGCUCAGCUAUUAAAAGUCUAAAUACUAUUAACAAUUAAUCCAGUUCAUAGCAGUGAAAAUGUUUACAUUAGUUGCCAUAAACAGAUUGUUUUUGAUCCGUUCUGGCACGUACAAUAUUAGUCAUGAUUAUGGAAGUGCCAAAAGGUGAGUGCUAUCAGGACUAUGUAUGACCCUUGGAUUUGAUGCCAGGUUUAUAAUACACUGAUGUGGGAAAUAAAGUAUUGUUUUGACCCUGAA